GGAAGAAGACCUUUAUGCUACAUACAUCUGCUGUGAUAUGCUAGAUAACACUAAACAAAAGCGGCAAAAAAGAGGAGAGUAAGACCACAAUCCUGCUGUAUCGGCAUUGCGACUGACCUGCAUUCGAAGGGGGUGAGGUCGUAGGACCUGGGCUUGCAACAUUUGUGACAUUUUCCUUUGAGCAGGUGUAACUGCAGCGACUUGGUCUAACUACUCUAUAAACACCACUGCUGGUUAGGACAAAAAUAUCCUUGCGUUUAUCCUCCCCAAAU
rnacentral:misc_RNA from 1 species